rnacentral:misc_RNA from 1 species
GUAACCUCAUCACUCGUUUCUGAACCGUUAGAUGUACUCUUUUUGCUACAACGUCUAUAUUAAGUAGAAGAUAAACAAUUAAAAGGACUUGUCUCUAGCUUUAUGAUGAAUGAUUUUGAAGUUCCUGUUAUUGUUUUCCUUUAUAAUCUUUUUGAUAGAGCUGCUCUUUUUUGUACGUCUCAAAUGAAGAAAAAAACAGCUUAAAAACGGCUGCAACUGAAAAGAGUAACUUAAAAAAGC